AAAAGCUCAAAUUUGAAAUCUGGCCCUAGCGGUCCGAGUUGUAAUUUGCAGAGGAUGCUUUUGGUGCGGUGCCUUCCGAGUUCCCUGGAACGGGACGCCAUAGAGGGUGAGAGCCCCGUACGGUUGGAUACCUAGCCUCUAUAUAGCUCCUUCGACGAGUCGAGUAGUUUGGGAAUGCUGCUCUAAAUGGGAGGUAAAUUUCUUCUAAAGCUAAAUACCGGCCAGAGACCGAUAGCGCACAAGUAGAGUGAUCGAAAGAUGAAAAGCACUUUGAAAAGAGGGUUAAAUAGCACGUGAAAUUGUUGAAAGGGAAGCGUUUGCGACCAGACCUUCUCCAGGGGGAUCAACCGCUGUUCUCAGCGGUGCACUCCCCCUGGUUUAGGCCAGCAUCGGUUCUCUUAGGGGGAUAAAGGCCUGGGGAACGUAGCUCUUUAGGGAGUGUUAUAGCCCCUAGCGUAAUACCCUUCAGGGGACCGAGGACCGCGCUUCGGCAAGGAUGCUGGCGUAAUGGUCGUCAACGACCCGUCUUGAAACACGGACCAAGGAGUCGAACAUUUGUGCGAGUGUUUGGGUGUUAAACCCUCACGCGUAAUGAAAGUGAACGGAGGUGAGAGCCUUAGGGUGCAUCAUCGACCGAUCCUGAUGUCUUCGGAUGGAUUUGAGUAAGAGCAUAACUGUUCGGACCCGAAAGAUGGUGAACUAUGCGUGGAUAGGGUGAAGCCAGAGGAAACUCUGGUGGAGGCUCGCAGCGGUUCUGACGUGCAAAUCGAUCGUCAAAUCUGCGCAUGGGGGCGAAAGACUUAUCGAACCAUCUAGUAGCUGGUUACCGCCGAAGUUUCCCUCAGGAUAGCAGUGUUGUCUUCAGUUUUAUGAGGUAAAGCGAAUGAUUAGGGACUCGGGGGCGCUAUAUUGCCUUCAUCCAUUCUCAAACUUUAAAUAUGUAAGAAGCCCUUGUUACUUAGUUGAACGUGGGCAUUCGAAUGUACCAACACUAGUGGGCCAUUUUUGGUAAGCAGAACUGGCGAUGCGGGAUGAACCGAACGCGGGGUUAAGGUGCCAGAGUGGACGCUCAUCAGACACCACAAAAGGUGUUAGUACAUCUUGACAGCAGGACGGUGGCCAUGGAAGUCGGAAUCCGCUAAGGACUGUGUAACAACUCACCUGCCGAAUGUACUAGCCCUGAAAAUGGAUGGCGCUCAAGCGUCUCACCCAUACCUCGCCCUUA
rnacentral:rRNA from 1 species